CUGAAACAUCUAAGUACCCGGAGGAAAGGACAUCAACCGAGACUCCGCUAGUAGUGGCGAGCGAACGCGGACCAGGCCAGUGGUCAUGUUUGAAGAACCGGAACCGUCUGGAAAGUCGGGCAAUAUUGGGUGAUAGCCCCGUACGGGUAGAAACAGGCAUGAUCCUUGAGUAGGGCGGGACACGUGAAAUCCUGUCUGAACAUGGGGGGACCACCCUCCAAGCCUAAGUACUCCUUGUCGACCGAUAGUGAACAAGUACCGUGAGGGAAAGGUGAAAAGCACCC
rnacentral:rRNA from 1 species